UACGUAGGGUGCAAGCGUUGUCCGGAAUUAUUGGGCGUAAAGAGCUCGUAGGCGGCUUGUUGCGUCGGCUGUGAAAACCCGGGGCUCAACCCCGGGCCUGCAGUCGAUACGGGCAGGCUAGAGUCCGGCAGGGGAGACUGGAAUUCCUGGUGUAGCGGUGAAAUGCGCAGAUAUCAGGAGGAACACCGGUGGCGGAGGCGGGUCUCUGGGCCGGAACUGACGCUAAGGAGCGAAAGCGUGGGGAGCGAACAGG
rnacentral:rRNA from 1 species